AGUCCCUUCGGGGGCGAGUAGAGCGGCGGACGGGUGAGUAAUACGUGGAUAAUCUUCCCUCGAGCUUGGGAUAACCCUGCGAAAGUGGGGCUAAUACCGGAUAAGACCACAUAGCAUAUGUUACGUGGUAGAAGGUGGCUUGUAUUUAUAUGAGCUAUCACUUGAGGACGAGUCCAUGGCCUAUCAGCUUGUUGGUGAGGUAAGAGCUCACCAAGGCUAUGACGGGUAGCUGGUCUGAGAGGACGACCAGCCACACUGGGACUGAGACACGGCCCAGACUCCUACGGGAGGCAGCAGUGGGGAAUAUUGGGCAAUGGGCGAAAGCCUGACCCAGCGACGCCGCGUGGGUGAUGAAGGCCUUCGGGUUGUAAAGCCCUUUCGUGCGGAAAGAACAGUCCUGUAGCGAAUACCUACAGGGUUUGACGGUACCGCAGGAAGAAGCACCGGCUAACUCCGUGCCAGCAGCCGCGGUAAUACGGAGGGUGCAAGCGUUGUUCGGAAUUAUUGGGCGUAAAGGGCGCGUAGGCGGUAGUGAUAGUCAGAUGUGAAAUCCUCCGGCUCAACUGGAGAACUGCAUCUGAAACUUCACAACUCGAGUACAGGAGAG
rnacentral:rRNA from 1 species